rnacentral:rRNA from 1 species
AUUGAACGCUGGCGGCAGGCCUAACACAUGCAAGUCGAGCGGUAGAGAGGUGCUUGCAUCUCUUGAGAGCGGCGGACGGGUGAGUAAUGCCUAGGAAUCUGCCUGGUAGUGGGGGAUAACGCUCGGAAACGGACGCUAAUACCGCAUACGUCCUACGGGAGAAAGCAGGGGACCUUCGGGCCUUGCGCUAUCAGAUGAGCCUAGGUCGGAUUAGCUAGUUGGUGAGGUAAUGGCUCACCAAGGCGACGAUCCGUAGCUGGUCUGAGAGGACGACCAGCCACACUGGGACUGAGACACGGCCCAGACUCCUACGGGAGGCAGCAGUGGGGAAUUUUGGACAAUGGGCGCAAGCCUGAUCCAGCAAUGCCGCGUGCAGGAUGAAGGCCUUGGUUGGUAAACUGCUUUGUUACGGAACGAAACGGUAGAGCUCUAAUUACAG